rnacentral:rRNA from 1 species
CACGUAGGCACCAAGCGUUGUCCGGAUUUAUUGGGCGUAAAGAGCUCGUAGGCGGUUCGGUAAGUCGGGUGUGAAACCUCCAGGCUCAACCUGGAGACGCCACCCGAUACUGUCGUGACUAGAGUCCAGUAGGGGAGCGUGGAAUUCCUGGUGUAGCGGUGAAAUGCGCAGAUAUCAGGAGGAACACCAGCGGCGAAGGCGGCGCUCUGGGCUGGAACUGACGCUGAGGAGCGAAAGCGUGGGGAGCGAACAGG